rnacentral:rRNA from 1 species
AUUGAACGCUGGCGGCAUGCCUUACACAUGCAAGUCGAACGGCAGCGCGGACUUCGGUCUGGCGGCGAGUGGCGAACGGGUGAGUAAUACAUCGGAACGUACCCUGUUGUGGGGGAUAACUAGUCGAAAGAUUAGCUAAUACCGCACACGACCUGAGGGUGAAAGUGGGGGACCGCAAGGCCUCACACAGCAGGAGCGGCCGAUGUCUGAUUAGCUAGUUUGAGGGGUAAAGGCCCACCAAGGCGACGAUCAGUAGCUGGUCUGAGAGGACGACAAGCCAAACUGGGACUGAGACACGGCCCAGACUCCUACGCGGGGCAGCAGUGGGGAAUUUGGGACAAAGGGAGCAACCCUGAUCCAGCAAUGCCGCGUGUGUGAAGAAGGCCUUCGGGUUGUAAAGCACGUUUGUCCGGAAAGAAAUCGCGCUGGUUAAUACCUGGCGUGGAUGACGGUACCGGAAGAAUAAGCACCGGCUAACUACGUGCCAGCCGCCGCGGUAA